rnacentral:tRNA from 1 species
UGGCGAGUAAUGUAAUGGUAGCAUAUGAGGUUUUGAUCCUUAGAGUGCAGGUUCGAAUCCUGCCUCGCCAG